rnacentral:rRNA from 1 species
UACGGAGGGUGCAAGCGUUGCUCGGAAUUAUUGGGCGUAGAGCGUACGCAGGCGGCGCGACAAGUCGAGUGUGAAAUCCCGGGGCUCAACCCCGGACGUGCAUUCGAGACUGCCGUGCUUGAGUGCGGGAGAGGGAAGCGGAAUUCCUGGUGUAGAGGUGAAAUUCGUAGAUAUCAGGAGGAACACCGGUGGCGAAAGCGGCUUCCUGGCCCGACACUGACGCUCAUGUACGAAAGCGUGGGGAGCAAACAGG